CCAAAUUAGAAGAUAAGGAACGUGCUUUCUUCCUCCCCCCAAGCUCUGUCUCACACGCCCAAUCCUCUCUAAAAGAAGUGGGGAGUGGGUGACUAGCGACCUACUCGCCUCCUCUCUUUCUCCUCCUUGUGAAAAGUAGACCUCUUUUGCUGCUGUGGAAGCGAUGUUCGGGGAUGAUCUUUCUUCUCCACUGGUUUCUGUGAUGGUGGAUGGUGGUCGGGUAUUGGGGAUCUCCCCGUUAGAUGUUGACCAUGUUGUUGUGGUUGGCAAAAUCAAAACCAACGUUGUUAUGUAUGGUCUGUGGCUUAGUCAUUUCGACAUUUUGAAGAGUUAUCAGGCACAGAAUUGGAGAUGACACCCACCUGCAAUCUCUUGGGAUGACUCUUUAUCUCUGUUUCAUCUUGGAUCAGAGAACUUCCAUGGUCCAAUGGUAAGGAAGACGGAGCAAUAGGUGGGCAACGACGAAGGUGCAGUGGCAAUAGGUCAAACACCAUUUUGGAAUAUGGGGAUGGUAUUGGUCUUAAUUAUAUUAAGAUUUGUGACCAGCAUGAUUUAGGAAAUUUGCCUAAUCUUUCCUUAUCUGUCAUGGUGGAGAAUAUAAAAGCAACUUUGGAGGCAAUUAUUUCUGUUCCAAUUGUGAAUAAGGAUGUCAUGCACCAUUUCUGAUCGUUUCUAUGUUCUUUUGGACAAUUAUUUUCCUUUGUGGAUUGUGAUGAUGAUGCGUGGUCACUACUCUUCAUAUGUAGCCCCUUAGUGAUAUUUUUUCUAUUUAAUGCAAUGUUUAUUUGUUUUAA